rnacentral:rRNA from 1 species
CCUACGGGUGGCAGCAGUGAGGAAUAUUGGUCAAUGGGCGCGAGCCUGAACCAGCCAAGUAGCGUGAAGGAUGACUGCCCUACGGGUUGUAAACUUCUUUUAUAAAGGAAUAAAGUGAGGCACGUGUGCCUUUUUGUAUGUACUUUAUGAAUAAGGAUCGGCGAACUCCGUGCCAGCACCCGCGGUAAUACGGAGGAUCCGAGCUUUAUCCGGAGUUAUUGGGUGUAAAGGUAGCGUAAAGGGGUUGUUAAGUCAGUUGUGAAAGGUUGGGGCUCAACCGUAAAAUUGCAAUUGAUACUGGCAGCCUUGAGUACAGUAGAGGUAGGCGGAAUUCGUGGUGUAGCGGUGAAAUGCGUAGAUAUCACGAAGAACUCCGAUGGCGAAGGCAGCCUACUAAACUGCCACUGACAUUGAGGCUCGAAAGUGUGGGUAUCAAACAGGAUUAGAUACCCGAGUAGUC